rnacentral:tRNA from 1 species
GGGGGUGUAGCUCAGCUGGGAGAGCACCUGCUUUGCAAGCAGGGGGUCAUCGGUUCGAACCCGUUCACCUCCACCA